CCUACGGGUGGCAGCAGUGAGGAAUAUUGGUCAAUGGACUUACGCCUGAACCAGCCAAGUCGCGUGAAGGAAGACUGCCCUAUGGGUUGUAAACCUCUUUUGUCAGGGAGCAACGCCGGCUACGUGUAGCCGGACUGAGAGUACCUGAAGAAAAAGCAUCGGCUAACUCCGUGCCAGCAGCCGCGGUAAUACGGAGGAUGCGAGCGUUAUCCGGAUUUAUUGGGUUUAAAGGGUGCGCAGGCGGAAUGCCAAGUCAGCGGUAAAAUCGUGGGGCUCAACCUCGCUCCGCCGUUGAAACUGGCGGUCUUGAGUGGGCGAGAAGUAUGCGGAAUGCGUGGUGUAGCGGUGAAAUGCAUAGAUAUCACGCAGAACCCCGAUUGCGAAGGCAGCAUACCGGCGCCCAACUGACGCUGAAGCACGAAAGCGUGGGUAUCGAACAGGAUUAGAUACCCUUGUAGUC
rnacentral:rRNA from 1 species